AUUCCCGUUUCCUAGAGAGGCCUCGUCGAGGGCGGUUCCGGUGCCCUCCGGGAACCCUCAAGCCGGUCCCCAGGUCGCUGAGACGAUUUGGGGGCGGGACCAGAAGCCGGGGAGGCUCCAGUGUUUGCACGACGUCCCGGAGAGCUUGGGCUGAGCCCAAACCGGGAGGAGGCUGCGGCCGCUGACCUUCCUCCCGGAGGUGCGGGGGUUAGUGUGGCCCGCGUCGAGGGCUCGGUGUAGCGGGACCGACGACCACCUUGGCGUGCUCAGUGGUGUCUGGCAGCUUUCCUCUCUGUUCCGGGCUCCCACGGGCGCUGUUUGAAGGGAAACCUGCUCCGUCAUAGGAGGAGGAGCAGCAGUCGUCCCUUCAGUAUUAGGGAUGAGGUCCCGCUGCUUGAGAGGCUGUGCCAUGAAACCUCUUCCUGGAGGAAAAAGAAAGCCGGAAGACUUGAAUCCUGGGUCUGAGAUGAAGGUGCAGAGUUCCCCGCCCAGCAGAAUCCUUUCUUCUGGGGCCUAGUGAUAAAAGGCAUGACACCGAGAGGAUGAUAUGGAAAGAGCAAAAUCAGUAAGACCUGGUGUGGAAAGGGACUCCCCAACCCUGUAACCAAGGGCUCAACCAGAGUCAUCCAGAUGGAAGCAAGGACUCAUCCAGGGCUCCCCCUCCAGACCAAGCCAACUCUUUGUAACCCAAGGCCUGCAGGGACCUCUGGAAAUCCACGAUGAGACUUCUGCUGCGGGUAGGCGGCACCUUUUCCAGCUAGAGGUGUUCUCCCUGCCCUGGAUCCCCGUUGGCUGUAUGGUGCCUGAAGGGGUAGAGGGGUUCCUUAGGGGUCUGGUGAUGCUUCCAGCUGUGACUGCUUGGAAAAGCUUCUCAACCUUGGUGAGCUGAGUGAGAGCCCUCUGCAGACUCUCACUUUUCUGCUUAAACAGGUGGUUCCUAAGCCCCAGGGCAAGAAAAACUUUCAAGGGCAGAGCAUGCCUGAUCAGAGUUUUGAUUCUCUGGGUCUCCUGAAGAAAUCAACCUGAGGAAGCACCUGAGGAAAGGGUCAAGGCCUGGGCCUGAGAAUCUGGUAGGGAGGCACAGCCCUAAGACCCUAAGUUGGUGUGCUGGCGUUCAUCAAAUUAAGUCUAAUGUAGACUGGGGUGUCUUGACCCUAAAGCCAGGCUAGUAAUGGUGAGCGCUUUCACCUCUGCCUUCCUUGUGACUACCAUUUCAACAACUCUUAUCACGCCUGUGCACACACUCCAGGGCAUGGCAGUGUAUGCUGAUCCAGUAGCAAGAGGCCCCACAUAGCUUCCGCUGGGGCAGGGGAUGUGGCUGGAGGUUGACACAUGGCUGUAUCAUUCUCCAGAAACUCUGGGCUCCUUCAGACUCGGCCUCACUUCUGAUUAACUGUUCCCUGCCUCAGUGGCCUCACUUGUAAAAUGAGAACAAUAAACUCUGUCAUACCUACCUCUAAAUAGACUUGAAAAAUCGAAAUAAAAUCAGAAGAUACAUCUGAA